rnacentral:lncRNA from 1 species
AAAAAUUGGUUCUAAAUUUCACAAAAUUAAGCCACUCCCAAGAAGAUGAAAGCCCCCAAUGAGCUCCAUGUCAUUGAUGGGAUGUUCACUCAUCCAAGAUUGCUAAGAAGCAUCUGGAAGCAAAUCUUUCCACCCAGGAUACAGCUGAAGUUGUUGCUCUGCAGUCCAUUGCAGCUUUCAUUUCAAACUCCCUCCAAUAAUGAUGAUUUCCCCUAUAUUUGUUGCUUCUGUAAUUUAUCAAGUACUGCAUAUAUAAUUAUCAUGCUUGGUGGGAAUCUAGUCCCUGUGUUUGUGAGGCAGGGGCUGUAAUUAUUUUUUUUGUUAAUUUGGUCCUUAUUUUCCCCUCUUGGAGAGUAGGAGCGUAUUAAUUCUUCGCCUACAGAAUUGAGAAAUUUAACUUAGUGAGGAGUGUUAGUUUAAUUAAACGCAGUUUUACAAAUCCCUAUUAUUCCAGGCAACAAAGGUGAAAAUUUACGUACUUUGACUUUAGUGAGUAAUAUUUUCAAAAGUUACACGAAUACUGAAAACUGUAAUAAAGAAGUCAAAAGUACAAUAGACAAGUAAAUUUUCCCAACAAAGUUGCUCUCUGAUCGUGGAACAGACUUGUAAUAGCAGGCAAAUUUCAACAUCUAUAUUAUUAGUCAUUAGGCACUCACAGCCAAGUGGAACAUUGGCAUUUAUUUUGGGCACAAGAAUAGCAUAAUCAAAUCAUAAACACAUUAUUUGUACCAAUGGGCGUUGGUUGAAGUGAUAUAUGUUUGAUUCAUGUUAAGUAAUAUAUCGGGUUUCUUGUGGAUAAAAAAUGUCUACUGGGAGAGUUACCCACACAUACUUGUAGAUGUUCCCAACUCGGACAGGAUUGCUCCCGAUACAAGGAUACAUGUGCGAAACCAAAAACACACUAUUGUUAAAAGAUGGCUCGUCUUUCCUUUUUUCACACAAACUUGCAGCUGUUCUUCUCAUCAUUUCAGCUGACCCAAUGAAAAAAUAAAGAGAAAUUAAACUAUUCAAUAGUUGUUAAAGUUGUUAGUUGAUUUUUGUUAAUUGUAAAAUUGUUUUCGUUAAUUGAUUAAAAGUUUAAUUAAUCAUUUAACUAGUUAGUUAUUAAUUAGACAUUGUAGUAUAUAAAGGGUGAUUCCCUUAUUCUUUGUAACUCAAUUGAGUAUAGAAAGUUUCCAUUUUCUCAUUCAUGAUUUUCUCUCAUACUUCUUAAUUCAUCAAUAAGCUUUCUUUUCAUGGAUUUUCUUAUUAUUUCUUUCUUGUGUUAUCAAGAUUCAUGCAUGACUCUACCGUUCUAACAUAGUAUCAGAGCAAUAAUUAUUGUGUUGAUGACUUCCACUUAUAAAGAUUCAACAAAGAAUCAUCAUUCUCCCAUCUUCUUUGUCUCCAUCGAGAGCUAUGUCAUGUUGAUCAUCAAGAAAUAUCACUCUGCCGCGGUCGCAGAAACAGAAAGUGCAGCCAAAAGCAUGAAUACUACUCAAAAGCAUUAUUGCACAAUCGGAGAGAUCAACAUGCAUUAUCACCAUCAGGAAGAAUUUUUUCAGUGUCAUUAUGGAAGAUUGAAAAAGUGCAGCCAAAAGGUUACUACCAAGAUGAUCCAUUAGUGACUGCAUCUAUGAUUUGCAAUCAAAGAGUCUUAUGCAUCACACUUCAACAUUGCUCCAAGGUUCAACCAAAAUACUAAUAGUGUUGAGUUUGAUCCAUCCUCUAAAAAUUUGGGUUGUUAUAACCCAAGAUUUUGUGUACAUUUUACAUUUAUGUUCUUUUCUUAUUCUUUAAUCUAUUAUCCCAAAUUAUUUUUCAUUUUUUUAUUACUCUAG